rnacentral:rRNA from 1 species
AGAGUUUGAUCCUGGCUCAGAACGAACGCUGGCGGCAGGCUUAACACAUGCAAGUCGAGCGCCCAGCAAUGGGAGCGGCGGACGGGUGAGUAACACGUGGGAACAUGCCCUUUGGUACGGGACAACUCAGGGAAACUUGAGCUAAUACCGUAUGUGCCGGUAACGGGAAAGAUUUAUCGCCAAAGGAAUGGCCCGCGUCCGAUUAGCUAGUUGGUGAGGUAAUGGCUCACCAAGGCACCGAUCGGUAGCUGGUUUGAGAGAACGACCAGCCACACUGGGACUGAGACACGGCCCAGACUCCUACGGGAGGCAGCAGUGGGGAAUCUUGGACAAUGGGGGCAACCCUGAUCCAGCCAUGCCGCGUGAGUGAUGAAGGCCUUCGGGUUGUAAA